rnacentral:antisense_RNA from 1 species
UUCUAUGGCGGGCCGGGUGGGGAGACCUUCGGGUCUACCGGUUUUCUCGGAGAGCCGGAUCGCUAACCCCAUCGUCGGGCCCGCCUCCCUC